rnacentral:rRNA from 1 species
UACGAGUUUGAUCCUGGCUCAGAACGAACGCUGGCGGCAGGCCUAACACAUGCAAGUCGAACGCCCCGCAAGGGGAGUGGCGGACGGGUGAGUAACACGUGGGAAUUUUCCUCAAGGUACGGAACAACUCAGGGAAACUUGGGCUAAUACCGUAUGAUGCAGAGAUGCCAAAGAUUUAUCGCCUCGGGAUAAGCCCGCGUCAGAUUAGGUAGUUGGUGGGGUAAUGGCCUACCAAGCCUGUGGUCUGUAGCUGGUCUGAGAGGACGAUCAGCCACAUUGGGACUGAGACACGGCCCAAACUCCUACGGGAGGCAGCAGUGGGGAAUCUUGCGCAAUGGGCGAAAGCCUGACGCAGCCAUGCCGCGUGAAUGAUGAAGGUCUUAGGAUUGUAAAGUUCUUUAGCCUGUGACGAUGAUGACGGUAACAGGAGAAUAAGCCCCGGCUAACUUCGUG